CUCUUCUUCUUCAAGGAGCUUCACUAUGGAAGGGUCCAUCACAAGUUAUACCUGCAACCGGCUGCCGUUCUACCUCGCCGGCUGCUCAGCGGGAAUCGUUCAGCUUACAGGAUUAUAAUUAAGUACAGUAUUUCAAAAAAAAAAGGAAAAAAAUUCCAGAACAAAGAAAAACCUCUUCUUCUUCAAGGAGCUUCACUAUGGAAGGGUCCAUCACAAGUUAUACCUGCAACCGGCUGCCGUUCUGCCUCGCAGGCUGCUCAGCGGGAAUCGUUCAGCUUACAGGAUUAUAAUUAAGUACAGUAUUUCAAAAAAAAAAAAGGAUACUGAGAAGAAAAAAAUAUUUGAGAACUUCACAAAAGGUGAAAGAGUAGUUGUAUACAGUGAA
rnacentral:lncRNA from 1 species